UGAAUACGAGAUGCUACGGCGUCGAAGCAGUCUAUGUCAUACUUCCAAGAAAAGCUCGCACUGUCAUAAACAAAUAAUGCCUGUACCAUAACCGACACAGGUGGGUAGGUAGAGUAUACUAAGGGGCGCGAGAUAACUCUCUCUAAGGAACUCGGCAAAAUGACUCCGUAACUUCGGGAGAAGGAGUGCCUUAUUUAUAAGGUUGCAAUAACAAGAUCCAAGCAACUGUUUAUCAAAAACACAGGUCUCCGCUAAGUCGUAAGACGAUGUAUGGGGGCUGACGCCUGCCCAGUGCCAGAAGGUUAAAGAAGUUGGUUAGCAUUCGCGAAGCUGAUAACUGAAGCCCUGGUGAACGGCGGCCGUAACAAUAACGGUCCUAAGGUAGCGAAAUUCCUUGUCGGGUAAGUUCCGACCCGCACGAAAGGCGUAAUGAUUUGGAUACUGUCUCGGAGAGGGGCUCGGUGAAAUAGACUUGUCUGUGAAGAUGCGGACUACCUGCACCAGGACAGAAAGACCCUAUGAAGCUUUACUGUAACUUGAGAUUGAAAUUGGACUUUACUUGCGCAGUAUAGGUGGGAGGCGUUGAUAAUAUUCUUGCGGGAUUAUUUGAGCCAUCAGUGAGAUACCACUCUUGUAAUGUUAGAUUUCUAACUUUGUAUCAUUAUCUGGUCAAAGGACAGUUUCAGGCGGGCAGUUUGACUGGGGCGGUCGCCUCCUAAACGGUAACGGAGGCGCACAAAGGUUUCCUCUGAACGGGUAGAAAUCGUAUCUAGAGUGUAAAGGCAUAAGGAAGCUUGACUGUGAGACCUACAAGUCGAGCAGGGACGAAAGUCGGUCUUAGUGAUCUGACGGUGCUGAGUGGAAAGGCCGUCACUCAACGGAUAAAAGUUACUCUAAGGAUAACAGGCUGAUCUCCCCCAAGAGUUCACAUCGACGGGGAGGUUUGGCACCUCGAUGUCGGCUCAUCGCAUCCUGGGGCGGUAGUACGUCCCAAGGGUUGGGCUGUUCGCCCAUGAAAGCGGUACGCGAGCUGGGUUCAGAACGUCGUGAGACAGUUCGGUCCAUAUCCGGUGUAGGCGUUAGAAUAUUGAGAGGAGCCUUCUUUAGUACGAGAGGACCGAGAAGGACAUACCUCUGGUGUACCAGUUAUCGUGCCAACGGUAAACGCUGGGUAGCUAUGUAUGGAGUGGAUAACCGCUGAAAGCAUCUAAGUGGGAAGCCCACCUCAAGAUAAGUAUUCAC
rnacentral:rRNA from 1 species